rnacentral:piRNA from 1 species
UCAGAGCCCAGUCUUCUGACAGAGGC